GACGAACGCUGGCGGCGUGCCUAAUACAUGCAAGUCGAGCGAUGAUUAAAGAUAGCUUGCUAUUUUUAUGAAGAGCGGCGAACGGGUGAGUAACGCGUGGGAAAUCUGCCGAGUAGCGGGGGACAACGUUUGGAAACGAACGCUAAUACCGCAUAACAAUGAGAAUCGCAUGAUUCUUAUUUGAAAGAAGCAAUUGCUUCACUACUGGAUGAUCCCGCGUUGUAUUAGCUAGUUGGUAGUGUAAAGGACUACCAAGGCGAUGAUACAUAGCCGACCUGAGAGGGUGAUCGGCCACACUGGGACUGAGACACGGCCCAGACUCCUACGGGAGGCAGCAGUAGGGAAUCUUCGGCAAUGGGGGCAACCCUGACCGAGCAACGCCGCGUGAGUGAAGAAGGUUUUCGGAUCGUAAAACUCUGUUGUUAGAGAAGAGCGUUAAGUAGAGUGGAAAAUUACUUAAGUGACGGUAUCUAACCAGAAAGGGACGGCUAACUACGUGCCAGCAGCCGCCGUAA
rnacentral:rRNA from 1 species